rnacentral:lncRNA from 1 species
CUCGGAGCCCACGCGGGCCCGCUCCCCUCCUCCCACUUUGUACUUCUGAAGCGAGCAAGAAGGAAGUGUGAACCCCACCAUGUAGGAGCGAGAGGGGGGACAGGCCUGGGGCUCUGUCCGAGCCAAGGCGAACACCUUUUCUGCAGCCCCAAUUAGCGCCCGGCGGAUUAGCACCUUCUUAAGCUCUGCCUGGAAGCAGCCGAGGUCUUUCGCCGUCCACCCCCACCCGCCGCGGACUGGGAGUCAGGGCUCCCCGCCCCCACGCGCCCCACCCCCGCCCGCCCCGAGAAAAGUUUUCACCGAAAACCCGAGGCUGCCAGAGCCGGAGUGGAAGCCACUGACGUCACUGGCGGGCUAGGGCACGGAGGGCGCCUGGAGACUCGGAUGGCGACCGAGGAUGUGGCUGCUUCCAAGGUGUCUCCAUCUGCGGGCAGGGAGGGGGCUCAGCCCCGGAAGCGGGCAGAGUUUGCACAGUUCAGGAGCGAAGGGUGGGAGCAAGCUGCCCGGGCCUGGCCUACUUGACGGGACGCGGGGUGCGUGCCUGCUUCCCAGGCUCCCCCCUCCCCUGCCAGGUGCCCGCAGCGGGGGCGACGCGGCCAGGGAGGGGUGCACGGAGGUGUCGCAGGACCGAGGCCACGCGCAAGUCGCCCUGUUCCUUGAGGCUUCCAUUUGCACCGGGUCGAGGUCACCGCUGCCCUCCGAGGCCGGGCUCUUCCCCUGCACCCUGGGAUGCCCGCCCGGGUUGUCCCACUCGGGAACAGGACGCAUCAUCCUGGAGCCGGGGCAAGAGCGUGCUCGGGGCCACAGCCCCCUUUCCGCCAGCCCCCAGCCCCGGCUGGGCUCCAGGUUCCCCGUCCCCAGGGUGCCGCUCAGCUCCGGGAUGUACUUUUGGCUCUCAGCCUCUGAAGUCAGGGUUGUCCACCGGUGUCCCCGCAUCCUGAACUUCUGCUGUCCCUGUGGCCAGCAGAGGCGCGGCGCCAGCUGCUGAAGUGGGAAGAGGGCAUGUUUCUGUCGGAGGGGUCUGGACAGACGCCUGCGUCCCUUUACGCAGCCCUGGGGAGGUGAGUUCCCCAUGGGCGGCAGCCACACGCGGAUCCCGGGACCCGAAGCUGAAGGCCUCUCGCCCCGCCCAGGGCCAGGGCCUCCUCUGCCCGAGCCCCUCACACCCUUCUUUCGCCUUCACCCUGCUCAGCUCCUGAUCAUCCUCGCCAAGCUCAGAGGCCUCCAAGCGCGGCCAAGCUUGGCUGGCGAAGCCGUGGCGCCCCGGCCCUUUCUCGCCUCUGCACCGGCUGUGCUCCGAGCUGCCUCCCUUCCAAGGACACUGGGCAGCCGGCUUCCUUCUGCUUCUGCCCCCCUCCCCCCGCUUAGAAACGGUACUUUCCGUUGGGUCCCCCAGAGCAGCCCAGGGUCUAACUCCCAACGCCCCGCGGCCCCAUGUUAAAGCUCCUGCGGUGAGCGGGCCUUGCGCGCAGCGCCCUGGCAGUCUUGCAAACAGGAUUCCUGGGAAAGUUUGCUCGGACUCCGUCAGCCCAGGACAGACCCCCCCCCCCACCUCUGCUGCUCUCGACCUCUGCCCCCAGAGGCAGGAGUUGGGCUUCCUGGGAGCAGCAAGCCAACGCCACGGCCCCUCCUCCCUCCACAGCUGCCGGUCCCGAGGGCGCAGGACCCAGCCCCAGGCUGUGCUCCCGGAGCCGGGGGAGGAGAGCGAACCUCAGGGCUGGCUCUCCACAGCCGCCGGAGCUGAGUGCAUCCCGAUCGGCUUUUAGGAUGGCAUUGACUGGGACAAGCUGUUCCCAGCCCCGUAAGCGUUAAUCUGCCUGUUAAUCAAAGCACUGAGGGGCUCAAUGAGGGUUUUAUUAGCGACCGGAGAGCAGAGGCAGCAGCCAGGGAUCAAAAGCCAGGGUCCCAGGUACUUUGUCAGCAAGGCACUCAAAAAAAUUGUAUUUUCAAUUAGAGAACAAUUCGGGGCUUUUCAUCAUCUCCUAACCAGGUCUCACAGAUGCUGACUUCCAGACUGUGCGCAGGGGAGAACCAAAUGCCCGGGGGCGGACCGGGGCGGCCGAGGGGCCCUGACGCCUCCCGACGCAGUCGAAAGGGAAGCCGCGAGCCACACCGCCAAUGUGGGCUUCAGACCCUGGGUCGCCCGCGCCACUGCCGGGCUGCCGGAAGUUUACGGAGCCGGAGCCGAGAGACUCCCACGCGCCUCCUCUGCCCUGGAGGGAGGCUGGGUCCCCUCCAGGGUGCCUCUCAAACCCUAAAACAAAUACAUAAAAGCCCAGGCCUUGGGGACUUUUGAACAGCAAUUGCUCCAAUAAUCCAAAUUGUACGAGAACUCCAGGGAAAAGAGCCAACCCAGCCACACCCGCCCUGCGAUCGCGAGGGCAGCGGCGAGGCCACCGCGAGGACUCGGUCAGAGGCGAUUAUGUCACCGCGUUUUCUCGCCGUGACAGCCGAAUAAACACGAUCUCCAAUAAACAUCUCUAAUGAGGGAGGAGGCCCGAGGACGGCUGGGUUUGAUUUAUGACUGGAGAAGGUCCUCUGCCCACAGCGAGGCGGGCAGCCUGCUCUCCGCUCAGCUCGAGGAGAGAUCCGCGUGGGACCCAGCCCAGAAAUUAAGAGAAGAAGAGGAGAAGUGCGCACACUACUGAGAAAACACCAUGUGCAUCUCUGGAGCAUUGCAGACGCCAUACCAGCGUAGCCCAGAGAAGAAACCAGCUGGGCUGUGAGGGUGCUUUCCUGCUCCUCCCUUCCUUCUUUCGUUUUAACCCUUUUUAUAUUUUAGAUGAAAAUUGCGGGAACGUUUUGUGAACCCGAACGUAAAAAAGGAAGCUAUUUAGCAGAGGCGCUGUUUGCGGCUCUUCGCCUGUCUGAGGGACUCCAUUGGGCCUGCUCUGCACACCUCUGAUUUCUCUGCCCUUACAAGAAGAGCAUCUCGGGCCUCCUUCUCUGCAAAAAGUUUUCUUCAACCUUGGAGAAAAAUAUCCAGUCCUUCCAGUUAGAGUUCCCAGUACUAAAUCCCUACUUCAGUCAGUUCAAGGAAUCGGCCACCCUCUCCUAAGCGCGUUUCCUAUGAAGGCAUCGCGCACUGUGUUUGAUUUCUGUCUCUCCGUCUGGGUGGAGAUGGAGACAUCAGCUGAAUUCCCUGGGGGUGAUUGGAUGCGACUCGCUGCAAGUCGACAGGCACGUCCUGGAUGUUAGAGAUUCACUUCUGCUCAACGUGACAAGGCCGGCUUCGAUCUGCAAUUGUAUUUGAAUGGGCAAUGAGCGGAAAGAUGCCUCGUCAUUAAGCCUGCUUCUACUUUAGCAAAAUAAGGGGCAGCUUCAUUUGCACACAAAUGCUCAUGAAGCUCGGAUUCCUGCAACUCUUUAAUAAAGGGGUGGCUGUGUAAUCUAAACUGGAGGUGAGGAGGAGGCAGAGGGAGAUGAGGUGCUCCACUGCGUGCCCCCCAAGGUCUGUGUGAUCCAGUUGACUUUUUUACUUGAAAUCUUAAAUAAGAUGGGAGUUGUAACAAGAGGAUUGGCACUUACUCCGUGACCCUUAUAAUUGGAUUAAAUAUAGACUGAGACAUACAAAGACACCGGAGAUUGACACCUGCCAACCGGACUUCCUUAUGACUGAUGGUGAUGCUUCGUGCUGGCAACAAUAAUGAAAUAAAUUGUACGGAUAAAACAGCGCAUUUGUCAUUUCCGUGCCAUGAGUGAGGAAGUCAACAGUGAGGCAAGCUGUUAGCUGACAGGAGAGAGCGGGAGGCGAGCUAAAGAGAUAAAUAAGG